rnacentral:rRNA from 1 species
UGAGUACGAGACGCUAAGGCGUCGAAGUAGUGGAUGUCAUACUUACAAGAAAAGCUUGCACUGUCAUAGAUAAAAAACGCCUGUACCAUAACCGACACAGGUGGGUAGGUAGAGUAUACUAAGGGGCGCGAGAUAACUCUCUCUAAGGAACUCGGCAAAAUGACUCCGUAACUUCGGGAGAAGGAGUGCCUUAUUCGUAAGGCUGCAAUAACAAGAUCCAAGCAACUGUUUAUCAAAAACACAGGUCUCAGCUAAGUCGUAAGACGAUGUAUGGGGGCUGACGCCUGCCCAGUGCCAGAAGGUUAAAGAAGUCGGUUAGCAUUAGCGAAGCUGGUAACUGAAGCCCUGGUGAACGGCGGCCGUAACGAUAACGGUCCUAAGGUAGCGAAAUUCCUUGUCGGGUAAGUUCCGACCCGCACGAAAGGCGUAAUGAUUUGGAUACUGUCUCGGAGAGGGGCUCGGUGAAAUAGACUUGUCUGUGAAGAUGCGGACUACCUGCACCAGGACAGAAAGACCCUAUGAAGCUUUACUGUAACUUGAAAUUGAAAUUGGACUUUAUUCGCGCAGUAUAGGUGGGAGGUGUUGAUUAUAAUCUUGCGGGAUUAUUGGAGCCAUCAGUGAGAUACCACUCUUGUAAUGUUAGAUUUCUAACUUUGAAUCAUUAUCUGGUCAAAGAACAGUUUCAGGCGGGCAGUUUGACUGGGGCGGUCGCCUCCUAAAUGGUAACGGAGGCGUACAAAGGUUUCCUCUGAACGGGUAGAAAUCGUAUCUAGAGUGUAAAGGCAUAAGGAAGCUUGACUGUGAGACCUACAAGUCGAGCAGGGACGAAAGUCGGUCUUAGUGAUCUGACGGUACUGAGUGGAAAGGCCGUCACUCAACGGAUAAAAGUUACUCUAGGGUAACAGGCUGAUCUCCCCCAAGAGUUCACAUCGACGGGGAGGUUUGGCACCUCGAUGUCGGCUCAUCGCAUCCUGGGGCGGUAGUACGUCCCAAGGGUUGGGCUGUUCGCCCAUGAAAGCGGUACGCGAGCUGGGUUCAGAACGUCGUGAGACAGUUCGGUCCAUAUCCGGUGUAGGCGUUAGAAUAUUGAGAGGAGCCUUCUUUAGUACGAGAGGACCGAGAAGGACAUACCUCUGGUGUACCAGUUAUCGUGCCAACGGUAAACGCUGGGUAGCUAUGUAUGGAGUGGAUAACCGCUGAAAGCAUCUAAGUGGGAAGCCCACCUCAAGAUAAGUAUUCUCA